ACGGGGGGUGCGAGCGUUGUCCGGAAUCACUGGGCGUAAAGGGCGCGUAGGUGGUUUGAUAAGGGUGUGGUGAAAGCCCGGGGCUCAACCCCGGGUCUGCCGUGCCGACUGUCAAACUCGAGGGCUGUAGAGGCAGACGGAAUUCCGGGUGUAGAGGUGAAAUUCGUAGAUAUUGGGAAGAACACCAGUGGCGAAGGCGGCUAACUGGUCCAGAUCUGACGCUGAGGUGCGAAAGCGUGGGGAGCAAACAGGA
rnacentral:rRNA from 1 species